rnacentral:rRNA from 1 species
UAUUUCAUCUAAAGCUAAAUAUUGGCCAGAGACCGAUAGCGCACAAGUAGAGUGAUCGAAAGAUGAAAAGCACUUUGGAAAGAGAGUUAAACAGUACGUGAAAUUGUUGAAAGGGAAGCGCUUGCAACCAGACUUGCAUGCCGUCGAUCAUCCUGGGUUCUCCCUGGUGCACUCGGCGGCGUUCAGGCCAGCAUCGGUUUCGGUGGUUGGAUAAAGGCCUUGGGAAUGUGGCUCCUCUCGGGGAGUGUUAUAGCCCUCGGUGCAAUGCAGCCUACCGGGACCGAGGACCGCGCUUCGGCUAGGAUGCUGGCGUAAUGGUUGUAAGCGACCCGUCUUGAAACACGGACCA